CGAUUACUUCCGCAGUGAAACACUGUUUUCCGUACGAUCACCGAAGUUAAGCAACGUUAAACCUGGUCAAUACCUAGAUGGGUGAUCGCUUGGGAAUACCAGGUGC